rnacentral:rRNA from 1 species
AACCGUAUAGGGGAGCCGAAGGGAAACCGAGUCUUAACCGGGCGUUAAGUUGCAGGGUAUAGACCCGAAACCCGGUGAUCUAGCCAUGGGCAGGUUGAAGGUUGGGUAACACUAACUGGAGGACCGAACCGACUAAUGUUGAAAAAUUAGCGGAUGACCUGUGGCUGGGGGUGAAAGGCCAAUCAAACCGGGAGAUAGCUGGUUCUCCCCGAAAGCUAUUUAGGUAGCGCCUCGUGAAUUCAUCUCCGGGGGUAGAGCACUGUUUCGGCUAGGGGGCCAUCCCGGCUUACCAACCCGAUGCAAACUGCGAAUACCGGAGAAUGUUAUCACGGGAGACACACGGCGGGUGCUAACGUCCGUCGUGAAGAGGGAAACAACCCAGACCGCCAGCUAAGGUCCCAAAGUCAUGGUUAAGUGGGAAACGAUGUGGGAAGGCCCAGACAGCCAGGAUGUUGGCUUAGAAGCAGCCAUCAUUUAAAGAAAGCGUAAUAGCUCACUGGUCGAGUCGGCCUGCGCGGAAGAUGUAACGGGGCUAAACCAUGCACCGAAGCUGCGGCAGCGACGCUGAUGCGUUGUUGGGUAGGGGAGCGUUCUGUAAGCCUGCGAAGGUGGCCUGUGAGGGUUGCUGGAGGUAUCAGAAGUGCGAAUGCUGACAUAAGUAACGAUAAAGCGGGUGAAAAGCCCGCUCGCCGGAAGACCAAGGGUUCCUGUCCAACGUUAAUCGGGGCAGGGUGAGUCGACCCCUAAGGCGAGGCCGAAAGGCGUAGUCGAUGGGAAACGGGUUAAUAUUCCCGUACUUGGUGUUACUGCGAAGGGGGGACGGAGAAGGCUAUGUUGGCCGGGCGACGGUUGUCCCGGUUUAAGCGUGUAGGUGUGUGUUCCAGGUAAAUCCGGUUCACUUUAACACUGAGGCGUGACGACGAGGCACUACGGUGCUGAAGCAACAAAUGCCCUGCUUCCAGGAAAAGCCUCUAAGCAUCAGGUAACAUCAAAUCGUACCCCAAACCGACACAGGUGGUCAGGUAGAGAAUACCAAGGCGCUUGAGAGAACUCGGGUGAAGGAACUAGGCAAAAUGGUGCCGUAACUUCGGGAGAAGGCACGCUGACACGUAGGUGAAGUGAUUUACUCAUGGAGCUGAAGUCAGUCGAAGAUACCAGCUGGCUGCAACUGUUUAUUAAAAACACAGCACUGUGCAAACACGAAAGUGGACGUAUACGGUGUGACGCCUGCCCGGUGCCGGAAGGUUAAUUGAUGGGGUCAGCGCAAGCGAAGCUCCUGAUCGAAGCCCCGGUAAACGGCGGCCGUAACUAUAACGGUCCUAAGGUAGCGAAAUUCCUUGUCGGGUAAGUUCCGACCUGCACGAAUGGCGUAAUGAUGGCCAGGCUGUCUCCACCCGAGACUCAGUGAAAUUGAACUCGCUGUGAAGAUGCAGUGUACCCGCGGCAAGACGGAAAGACCCCGUGAACCUUUACUAUAGCUUGACACUGAACAUUGAGCCUUGAUGUGUAGGAUAGGUGGGAGGCUUUGAAGCGUGGACGCCAGUCUGCGUGGAGCCGACCUUGAAAUACCACCCUUUAAUGUUUGAUGUUCUAACGUGGACCCGUGAUCCGGGUUGCGGACAGUGUCUGGUGGGUAGUUUGACUGGGGCGGUCUCCUCCUAAAGAGUAACGGAGGAGCACGAAGGUUGGCUAAUCCUGGUCGGACAUCAGGAGGUUAGUGCAAUGGCAUAAGCCAGCUUGACUGCGAGCGUGACGGCGCGAGCAGGUGCGAAAGCAGGUCAUAGUGAUCCGGUGGUUCUGAAUGGAAGGGCCAUCGCUCAACGGAUAAAAGGUACUCCGGGGAUAACAGGCUGAUACCGCCCAAGAGUUCAUAUCGACGGCGGUGUUUGGCACCUCGAUGUCGGCUCAUCACAUCCUGGGGCUGAAGUAGGUCCCAAGGGUAUGGCUGUUCGCCAUUUAAAGUGGUACGCGAGCUGGGUUUAGAACGUCGUGAGACAGUUCGGUCCCUAUCUGCCGUGGGCGCUGGAGAACUGAGGGGGGCUGCUCCUAGUACGAGAGGACCGGAGUGGACGCAUCACUGGUGUUCGGGUUGUCAUGCCAAUGGCACUGCCCGGUAGCUAAAUGCGGAAGAGAUAAGUGCUGAAAGCAUCUAAGCACGAAACUUGCCCCGAGAUGAGUUCUCCCUGAGACUUAGAGUCUCCUGAAGGAACGUUGAAGACGACGACGUUGAUAGGCCGGGUGUGUAAGCGCAGCGAUGCGUUGAGCUAACCGGUACUAAUGAACCGUGAGGCUUAACCUUACAACGCCGAAG